UGCUUUCAUUGUUUACAUGUGCAGUGUGACAUUAUACAUAGGCAUUUCAGUUAUAACUUACAACUUAGAUGGUAAAAUAUAUAUAACUUGCUAAAACCUACUUUCACUUCAGUUUCCUGUGUGUGAGGGUAAUUUGAAAGGGAAAUUGAAGUACAGUCGUAACCACACCCCUCUGUGUAAUCCUACUGGGUUUUUUUCCCCACCGUUUAGGAUCAUGUGACCUGAUGGAAACAUAGUUUCGUUUUCCUUUCCUCUCUUAUCCUGAGGUUGGACAAGAUGUUUUUAUUAGGAGUAGAGGAUCUCAGUGAGCUGAUCAGAGCACAAGUGAGAGGAGGAACAUGGCAGAGAAUCAGCAGAGAGACAUCAACCGGAUCAGGGACAUGUAUGAGGGAGUUGAUCGUGAUAAAAUGAAUAGAACCCAGAGAGAAGCACACAGACAGAGAAAUCUCCAAGAUAAUCCAGACGUUUUCUUUAGAGUGUACCGAGACGGCAGACUUCACCUGGUGAUGUUCAGGCCGUCUGACCCCGGAGUGUGGAUGAGUGUGAUUCGCAGCAGGAUUACAACCAACCUGUAUUUACAGCUGACUAAGAGACGUGCUGUAAAUGACAUCUUCACAAACUGCCUGUCUGGAUCUGAAGAGGAGCUUAAACGUUUCUGUGAAGGUUUUGAACAGAUGUAUGAGGAGGUCAUGAAGAACGUGCAGGAAGUUGAGCAGCUCAGAGAGAGAAUCAGGGAGCAGGAGGAUGAAGUUGAGCAGCUUAGAGAGAGAAUCAGGGAGUUGGAGCUGGAAAAAAAAAAACUUCGGAAGAAAUAGGUGUGUGUUCAGACCAGGCUGUCUUACUGAGGUUCACACCCAAGCCCCUGUGUUUCGCUGAUCUCUUUUCAUCACUGCUGUGUGAGUGGAUAAAGCUGUUAUCCUCAUAUCACACCAUGUCUCACACACACACACACACACACACCCACACCCACACACACACACACUUACCUCACUAUAGAAGAUGUAGUAUGUGAAGAAAAAAUUGUCUGACAGUUUGUAAGACACAAGACAAUGUUAUGUAUUGUGCUGAUUAUGUUAAAACUAUUUAGAGACAGUAGAGAGCAUCUCAGCUCAUCAUUAUUCACCUUAUAAGGUUAGAACCUGUUAAUUAGUUAACAGGGUUAUGCUGUUGGAACACAAGUCACAGGACCGGGGAAUAAAAGAGUUCUGUUGUACUACGAUGUUGUUCUUAGGCAUUGUUGAUUUGAGUUGACAAGACUUUGUAUUCUUUCAUUUCCUUUGAACCAUUUUGCUUAUUUAUACUCAGUUCCCAUAUAUUGCUUUUCUUUGCUGAAGUUGUAGUUGAUUGCGAUAUAAAACAAUAAAAGGACUACCUCCCA